UACGUAGGGAGCAAGCGUUGUCCGGAAUCAUUGGGCGUAAAGCGCGCGUAGGCGGCCUCAUAAGUCCGUUGUGAAAGUCAAAGGCUCAACCUUUGAAAGCCGAUGGAUACUGUGAGGCUAGAGUCCGGAAGAGGCGAGUGGAAUUCCCGGUGUAGCGGUGAAAUGCGCAGAUAUCGGGAGGAACACCAACGGCGAAGGCAGCACUCUGGGCUGGAACUGACGCUGAGGAGCGAAAGCGUGGGUAGCAAACAGG
rnacentral:rRNA from 1 species